UUGAUUUCAGAGGACCUCCGCCCUGCAAUUCACACAGACGCUGUUGCUCACAGAACACAGUGUGUGCUCUCUCCUUUGCUUCACUCCCCUCCUCCCACCCGAAGACAGGAUUCCAAACCUAGUGCGGGCCUGCAGUGCUCAGCAUCUCCCACUAGGGGGAGCCCCUGGAGGGCAGCUGGGGCUGAGCAAUUUGGGAAGUGCUGAAGUUUUCUGCUCCUGUCCUGUACUGGUUUUCACUAACCCAACUGUGAGAUUUCUUUGUUGCAAUGUUGGGGUCUGAGAUAGCACUGCUGGAGGCUGCAGACGAGAAACAUAGCUGAGACCAUCUUGUGUUGUGUGUUGUUAUUUACUAGCGCUAAGAACCAAGGAAGUGGAAUAACAAAGGGCCCGAAGACAGCACAGCCCCAGCUGGUAGGCCCUGGAGAGAGGCUGGAGUCCUCAGGCGGACAGAAGGAAGACAUCUGAGAGGCGACCAGGAGGUGCCUGUGACUGCGGAGUACAGGAUAUGAAUCAGAGAGAAAGAAGUGAACUCUUGUCGCGGAAGAAAGGGAGCGAUUGGCAGAAGACUUUUCUCUGGUGUGGGUGGCUGAUUUGAAGACCCUGGCAACAUGGAGG